rnacentral:rRNA from 1 species
AUAUAAAGUUGUUGCGGUUAAAAAGCUCGUAGUUGGAUCUCAGUUCCGGAUCGACGGUUCGCCUCUGGUGAUUUACUGUCGGUCCGAACAGCUCGUCGGCUCGCUCGGGGUGCUCUUCAUCGAGUGUCCCGCGUGGCCGGCACGUUUACUUUGAAAAAAUUAGAGUGCUCAGAGCAGGCUUACCGCCUGAAUAGUUGUGCAUGGAAUAAUGGAAUAGGACCUCGGUUCUAUUUUGUUGGUUUUCGGAACCCGAGGUAAUGAUAAAUAGAGACGGACGGGGGCAUUCGUAUUGCGACGCUAGAGGUGAAAUUCUUGGACCGUCGCAAGACGAACUACUGUGAAAGCAUUUGCCAAGAACGUUCUUAUUAAUCAAGAACGAAAGUUAGAGGUUCGAAGGCGAUCAGAUACCGCCCUAGUUCUAACCAUAAACGAUGCUGACUAGCGAUCCGUCUGUGUUAAUCCCAUGACUAGACGGGCAGCUUCCGGGAAACCAAAGUCUUUGAGUUCCGGGGGAAGUAUGGUUGCAAAGCUGAAACUUAAAGGAAUUGACGGAAGGGCACCACCAGGAGUGGAGCCUGCGGCUUAAUUUGACUCAACACGGGGAACCUCACCAGGCCCGGACACCGGAAGGAUUGACAGAUUGAGAGCUCUUUCUUGAUUCGGUGGGUGGUGGUGCAUGGCCGUUCUUAGUUGGUGGAGCGAUUUGUCUGGUUAAUUCCGAUAACGAACGAGACUUUAGCCUGCUAACUAGUCGGAGGGUCUAAUACAAGUGCCCUCCGCAGCUUCUUAGAGGGAUAAGCGGCAUCUA